CCUACGGGGAGCAGCAGUCGAGAAUCAUUCACAAUGGGGGCAACCCUGAUGGUGCGACGCCGCGUGGGGGAAUGCAGGUCUUCGGAUUGUAAACUCCUGUCAUGUGGGAGCAAAUUAAAAAGAUAGUACCACAAGAGGAAGAGACGGCUAACUCUGUGCCAGCAGCCGCGGUAAUACAGAGGUCUCAAGCGUUGUUCGGAAUCACUGGGCGUAAAGUGUGCGUAGGCGGUUUCGUAAGUCGUGUGUGAAAGGCGCGGGCUCAACCCGCGGACGGCACAUGAUACUGCGAGACUAGAGUAAUGGAGGGGGAAGCGGAAUUCUCGGUGUAGCAGUGAAAUGCGUAGAUAUCGAGAGGAACACUCGUGGCGAAGGCGGGUUCCUGGACAUUAACUGACGCUGAGGCACGAAGGCCAGGGGAGCGAAAGGGAUUAGAUACCCGGGUAGUC
rnacentral:rRNA from 1 species